rnacentral:rRNA from 1 species
CUACGGGAGGCAGCAGUGGGGAAUCUUGCACAAUGGAGGAAACUCUGAUGCAGCGAUGCCGCGUGAGUGAAGAAGGCCUUUGGGUUGUAAAGCUCUUUCGUCGGGGAAGAAAAUGACUGUACCCGAAUAAGCAGGUCCGGCUAACUUCGUGCCAGCAGCCGCGGUAAUACGAAGGGACCUAGCGUAGUUCGGAAUUACUGGGCUUAAAGAGUUCGUAGGUGGUUGAAAAAGUUGGUGGUGAAAUCCCAGAGCUUAACUCUGGAACUGCCAUCAAAACUUUUCAGCUAGAGUAUGAUAGAGGAAAGCAGAAUUUCUAGUGUAGAGGUGAAAUUCGUAGAUAUUAGAAAGAAUACCAAUUGCGAAGGCAGCUUUCUGGAUCAUUACUGACACUGAGGAACGAAAGCAUGGGUAGCGAAGAGGAUUAGAUACCCUCGUAGUCCAUGCCGUAAACGAUGUGUGUUAGACGUUGGAAAUUUAUUUUCAGUGUCGCAGGGAAACCGAUAAACACACCGCCUGGGGAGUACGACCGCAAGGUUAAAACUCAAAGGAAUUGACGGA